CCUCGUCAGCAAAUACAGAUUUUUACGCAUAAAACAUUAUCAAAUGGUCACAGCUUAUGUAACAAAAUAGGCAGUCACGAGUUUUCAAAGAAAUAGUGUAAAAAAAAAAACCGAACACUAAACUCCUUAUACAAAUAAAGUAAACAUCUUUGAUGUACAUGUAUGUACAUAGUUGGUGAUGCGGUUCACUGUACUACGUUUUGUUAACAGCAUCACGGGGCUUUGACUCAUACUGAUCAUAUGAGUGUAUGUGUCAAUGAUACUGCAUCUUACAACCUCAUUACGAAGAUUAAACAUUCACACUUGUCCACAUGGUUUAACUGAUAGUGGCUAUCGAUAGUAUAACUUAAAGGAUAUUUGUGGUGUACCGCCUUUUGUUUUACUUCGUUCUAGAAUUUUAGAUCAGAAUGGGUCAAGGCGAUGGUUCUGGUGGCGGGAUGCCGCGUUUCUUCUGGGGAUGCCUAUGGUUUCUCACCAUAUGGUUCAUCGCGUGGCCAAUCGCGUUCUUUCUCGCGUGGAUAUACAUUUUCCUACUUCCGUUCAGCGUCUGUUGCGAACCGUUAAAGGAUGUGUGCCAGUUCUUGCAGAAAUGCGUGCUACUACCUUUAACGUGCGCUGAAAAUAUGGUUAGCAUGAAGCCGAUGUGUUGAAAAGGAACUCGAAGUUGAAUAUUGAUGAUUGCCUGAAACUCUUUUCUCUUACAAUAUGGAAUAUCAGAACUCAGGGAACCAGACACUAUUGGGGAAUGAGCUGUUAUCACGGUGCCACUUUUGACGGAUAUUCAUGGCCCAAAUUUCUCGGAACUUCUUAAGCUAAACAGGCUUAAGUUGUUUAUUUUACUUAGCCAAAAUACAUACAUAAAUUCGAUUUUGAUCAAUGAUCAAUAGUUAAAUGUGAUCAUUAUAGUGAGGAUUAAUAUUUUAUGGCUGAAAACUCUUACAAAAGUAAAUACAGUCAAACCCCGUUGGCUCGAACUCACAGGGAGCGGCGAAAAUACCUCGAGCCUCGGGAAAAUCGAGCCAAGCGGGAUUUGUAUCAUUCAGAAGGAAAACAGCGGUCCUUAUAUCAAGUUCGAGGCAACGAGGAAAUCGAGCCAAACGUGAAAUGUUACAUUCAAUAGGAAAACAUCGGUCCUUUAUAUCAAGUUCGAGGAAAUCGAGCCAAGCGAGUUUGAGCCAACGGAAUUCGAUUGCACAUUUAGAGCGCAAAUGAUAGUGCAAACAAAAUUAGUAAGCUUAGCUUAAUACUGGCAUAAGGGACUUAAGAAGUUAAGAAUAAAAUGGGGACUGGACUUGAGCAACUUCCUUACUAUUUAUAAUGUACACGAUCUUACGUUUAUUAUUCUAUACGGUAUGAUAUUUGAUUAGAUUUUGGAGUUGGGCGCGUUUCAUAAAAAAAGUGAAAAAUAUCCGGACACUGUUGGGUCGUGAGAAUUUCGUCAACGACUGCUAUCUGUGAUUACAACCAUGGCGAAACAUCAAAAUGUUAAACUUACGCCAAACUUGACAAAUAUAACAUUAUUAUACCUUUUAUAGGGUUUGAUUUGCUUUAAAUGUAUUUUGUGCACAUGUGCUUAUCGCAGAUGAAAUCAUUUCUUUACAAAUAUCAUCGUUCACUGCCGACUUCAAAAGAAUCUGUGAAAAUCAUAAAAACUUGUUACAGCAUGGGAAACUUGCAAUGAAUUUCUUGGAAAUGAUUGUUGUUUUUUGUAAUGUUUCGAUUUAUUUUGUCUUGAGUAUUUCUUAGAAAUAUACGUUUUAUUAUUUUUAGCUGUUGAAUGUUCGUGAACAUUAAAAACUCAACCAGCAAGUGGCAGUUAAAGAAUAUAUUUUUAAUUUGUAUUUUUGCAUGCUACCUUCACUAGAAAAAUGUGAAUAUUGUUUCAAAGUAAUGAUUUUAAAUUUAAAAUUCUAACUUUGUGGCAACAUCGCGUCCUGUUAUUAAUCUAAUUUUCCUUGUCUCGUUUAAAUUCGCGUGCAUCCUGCAUUGUACUUUUGUGUUUGUAUAAUUGUUUCUGUUUGUUAGAUUUUUAAAUUUGUUUAACUUUUAAAAUAUAAACUUUUACUUCCUGUUCACGAUUCAAGUCAGAAAUCUGGGUUAAAAUGAUAGUUUUACUGCCGUAAGUAAAAGAGAUAAAAAAUAUUCAAUUACAUCGAUUUCAACGCAUUAUUUCUGAAUUGAUGGGGCGCUUGUCCAAAAUUGCGUCACUCUAAGUGACGCCCCUUUGACGCUUAUUUUUUGCCCCGCCCCUGUAAUGCGAAGUACUGAUCAUCCAUUCUUACGAUCUUUAUCCAAGAAUAAUGAGUUUUGUAAAAACAAUGUGCUAAAUAUAAUCUAAUUAUAAUGAUGUUAACUGAGUGUUAUUUGUAAUGUAACACUUUAUUUUAAUUUACAGCUGCACUCUCACAGUUUGAACUUUUUUUUAUUUUUUUGUCUUCGAACGAGCCAUUUUUGCGAAAAUCAAUGGGAACCAGCUAUUCAAGACUGCUGACAAAAAAUAGAUCGCAGACUUUUAUAUUUAAGUUCAAAAAAUGAUGUUAGUAACGGUUUAAGCCAUAAAACAUGAAUGUUCGAACGCAAAUAUGAAAAUCUACGAUCUGAUCUUUUGGACAGCAAUCUUAUAUCAUUGAUUUGCAGAUAUUUACGCAAAAAAUUGCUCUUUCCAAGACAAAAAAUGAAAUGUUGUACAAAUGGUAUAUCUGUGAGAGUGCAGCUUUAAGUACAUUUGGAAAUAUGGUAGCAUUGUUGUGAGGCCGGAAUAUUUCAGCAAUUUUUAACUUCUGUAUCGUUUGUUUAUCAUUAGUUUAUUUAUAAAUUGAAAUAUGUUAUAUAUUUGAAUAGAUGUAUAUGUUUGUUGGUAGAGCUAACUGUUACAUGUAUAUAUUUGUAUAGUAUAGUUUAUAGACUUUUAAAUAAAAGGGAGUUAAUCUA